UUGGACGGCCAAAGUGGUUGGGUUCCACCUGUUCCCAUUUCGAACACAGAAGUUAAACCAGCCGACGUUUCUGGGCGUACUGCACUUUGUGCGGGAGACCAGAUUCGCUGUCCUCC
rnacentral:rRNA from 1 species